rnacentral:rRNA from 1 species
UACGUAGGGGGCAAGCGUUGUCCGGAAUCAUUGGGCGUAAAGAGCGCGUAGGCGGCCCAGUAAGUCCGCUCUGAAAGUCAGGGGCUCAACCCCUGGAUGCGGGUGGAUACUGCUGGGCUAGAGUCCGGAAGAGGUGAGUGGAAUUCCUGGUGUAGCGGUGAAAUGCGUAGAUAUCGGGAAGAACACCAGUGGCGAAGGCGCUCUACUGGGCCACAACUGACGCUGAGGGACGAAAGCUAGGGGAGCGAAAGGG